GACGGAAAAGAGUGCGAUGUUUUGUGCGAUCAGCUGUCAAAUGCGAUCAAGUUGACCAACAUUGUCAGAAUGUUAAAAACUGUGAUCCUAAUCGGAGGCCCCCAGAAAGGUACACGUUUUCGUCCACUGUCUUUUGAGGUACCCAAACCACUUUUUCCAGUUGCUGGUGUGCCUAUGCUACAACAUCACAUUGAAGCAUGUGCACAGGUCUCCAAUAUGAAGGAAAUUUUGCUCAUUGGCUUUUACCAGCCCAAUGAAGAACUUACCAGAUUCCUGACUUAUGCACAGCAGGAAUUCAAAAUCUCAAUCAGGUAUUUGCAGGAGUAUGCAGCCUUGGGCACAGGGGGAGGCAUAUAUCACUUUAGAGACCAGAUCCUGUCUGGAGGUCCUGAGGCCUUCUUUAUAAUGAACGCAGAUGUCUGCGCAGAGUUCCCCCUGCCAGAAAUGCUCAGCUUCCAAAAGGAACAUGGAGACCCCAGCAGCUUUGUCAUCUUGGCAACAACUGCAAACAGAAAGCAGUCUAUGAACUAUGGCUGCAUAGUAGAAAAUCAGGAAACUAAUGAGGUUUUGCAUUACGUGGAGAAGCCUAGCACCUUUGUGAGUGACAUCAUCAACUGUGGAAUCUACUUGUUUACUCCAGACAUCUUCCAGCACAUUGGAGCGGUGUUCCAGAAGAACCAGCAGGACCUGCUGUUAUAUCCAUACGAGGGAGACGAGCAGACCAAUAGCACCAACGGCAAUGGCUGGCACCGUGCUGAGGUGAUCCGCUUGGAGCAGGACAUCUUCACGGCCCUGGCCGGCCAGGGCAAACUCUACGUCUACAAAACCCCCAGCUUCUGGAGCCAGAUCAAGUCUGCAGGAUCUGCAAUUUAUGCCAGUCGCUUGUACCUCAACCAGUACCACACGACCCAUCCUGAGAGACUGGCUUCCAACGAGAAGGGAGGACCCAGAAUAAGUGGAAAUGUUUACAUCCAUCCAACAGCCAAUAUUGACCCAACUGCAGUGUUGGGUCCCAAUGUCUCCAUAGGCACAGGGGUGACCAUCGGAGCAGGGGUUCGAGUCAGGGAGUCAAUCAUCCUUCAUGGGGCUACUCUGCAGUUUUUUCUUUUUAAAGGAUCACAGUUGUGUUCUGAACUGCAUUGUGGGAUGGGACAGCACCAUCGGCAAAUGGGCACGUGUUGAAGGAACCCCCAGCGACCCGAACCCUAACGACCCCCAUGCCAAGAUCGACAGCGAGACGCUAUUCAGGGAUGGCAAACUCACCCCAUCAAUUACUAUUCUAGGUUGUAAUGUGACUAUACCGUCGGAGGUGAUAAUACUGAACUCCAUCGUCCUCCCGCACAAAGACCUCAACCGGAGCUUUAAAAACCAGAUUAUACUCUAGUUCAGCUUCUGUCAGCGGUUUGAGCGUCAUAUAUAUGAAGGAUGGACAACGUGGCCACUGCCUUUUGAGUUACUGUAUAUAAGAUGUCAAAGAGGAUGGAUAUGAGAUGUGGAUGUAGUUAUUUUGUAAGAGAUUUCAUAUAUUGUUUGUGCUGACUUGUCAUCUACACAGCUUCUGGAUAACAGUGUUGCAUUUAAUCAUGUGUGUUGGUUUAUUUUGAAAUGCCAGUAUAACUAUUUUCUAUUUGAUUCACUGAUUUGUUGAAUUACUGCAAAUGCCUGUGUAUAUUUUGUGUAUUGAAUUAUUGGCCUUGUAAGUGAAAUGGUCAAAAUAAAUUUCUAGGAACACUUUAGUCCAUGGUAGCACAAUUAUUUGGAGAAAGAAUUGCCAUCAAUGUGAGACUUGAUUUCACGUAAAAUAAAUAAUUGGCAACAAACUGUUCUUAAUUGUGGGUGUAAUUCUUUUGCCUUUUACAGUGAUUAAAAAUGAACUUUAAAUGGUAAA